UGGAGGAUAUUGACGUUGUGCUCGUGUCGUCAGCAAAAAGUUUGACAAUUGCUGAAGUAGUGUUCACCACAUCAUUAAUAUAAACAAGGAACAGAGUCGGGCCAAGAACUGAGCCCUGGGGCACGCCGACAGAAACAAGUUCAUGAGGUGAUUCAUUGGCAGAGAAUGAGACAAAUUGAUAGCGAUUGCGCAGAUUUAUAUACAGGAACAACUCUGGCAACUUUAAGAUGGUCUGGAAAUACACCAUAAAGCACAGAGUAAUUGAAGAGUUUACAGAGUAUGGGACUUAUUGUACUGCAGAGAAGUUUUAUGAGAUAAGCUGGUAAUUGAUCGUAUCCAGUUGCUUUGUUUGUUUUUAAAGAAUUAAUAAUGUUUACUACUUCAUUUAAUCAGGCAUCUUUCAUGAACAUGGACGACUUAUUUGGAGCACUCAUGAAUUUCAGGUGAUCAUGAUCACUUACAUUGUGAAAAGCAGAAGAUAAGGUUUGUCCAAUCUGAGAAAAUGAGCUAUUGAACAUAUAUGAAAUUUUAGCACUAUCAUGAACAACCUCCCAUGAGUGCUGGUCAAUUAAUCUUUGCGUAACAUUAUUAUUAGUUUUUGGAUUUAUUAAUGAAUUAAUUGUAUACCAAGUCUUUUUUGGGUCAUUUAUAUUUUUUUCAAAGCGUUUCGCAAAAUAUAUCUCUUUGGCUUUCUUUUUCAAGUGGCAUAAUUUGUUUGCGUAUCUUUUAUAGUGCUGUUUUUGUUCAAUGGAUCCGUUAAUAAAGUGCGUUUUAUGCAA